rnacentral:sRNA from 1 species
UCUCGAGUACGAAUUGCUUCUAUGACUA